rnacentral:rRNA from 1 species
GUAGUCCACGCCGUAAACGAUGUCAACUAGCCGUUGGGCUCCUUGAGGGUCUAGUGGCGCAGCUAACGCGAUAAGUUGACCGCCUGGGGAGUACGGCCGCAAGGUUAAAACUCAAAUGAAUUGACGGGGGCCCGCACAAGCGGUGGAGCAUGUGGUUUAAUUCGAUGCAACGCGAAGAACCUUACCAGGCCUUGACAUCCCCGGAACUUGGCAGAGAUGCCUUGGUGCCUUCGGGAACCGGGUGACAGGUGCUGCAUGGCUGUCGUCAGCUCGUGUCGUGAGAUGUUGGGUUAAGUCCCGUAACGAGCGCAACCCUUGUCCUUAGUUGCCAGCGCGUAAUGGCGGGAACUCUAAGGAGACUGCCGGUGACAAACCGGA